rnacentral:rRNA from 1 species
GAUGAACGCUGGCGGCGUGCCUAAUACAUGCAAGUCGAGCGAACAGACGAGGAGCUUGCUCCUCUGACGUUAGCGGCGGACGGGUGAGUAACACGUGGAUAACCUACCUAUAAGACUGGGAUAACUUCGGGAAACCGGAGCUAAUACCGGAUAAUAUAUUGAACCGCAUGGUGCAAUAGUGAAAGACGGUUUUGCUGUCACUUAUAGAUGGAUCCGCGCUGCAUUAGCUAGUUGGUAAGGUAACGGCUUACCAAGGCAACGAUGCGUAGCCGACCUGAGAGGGUGAUCGGCCACACGGGAGCUGAGACACGGUCCAGACUCCUACGGGAGGCAGCAGUAGGGAAUCUUCCGCAAAGGGCGAAAGCCUGACGGAGCAACGCCGCGUGAGUGAUGAAGGUCUUCGGAUCGUAAAACUCUGUUAUUAGGGAAGAACAAAUGUGUAAGUAACUAUGCACGUCUUGACGGUACCUAAUCAGAAAGCCACGGCUAACUACGUG